UGGGGAAUCUUGCGCAAUGGGCGAAAGCCUGACGCAGCGACGCCGCGUGUGGGAUGACGGCCUUCGGGUUGUAAACCACUGUCGGGAGGGACGAAGCUCUGACGGUACCUCCAAAGGAAGCACCGGCUAACUCUGUGCCAGCAGCCGCGGUAAUACAGAGGGUGCGAGCGUUGUCCGGAAUCACUGGGCGUAAAGGGCGCGUAGGCGGCCUGAUAAGUAGGGGGUGAAAUCCUGUGGCUCAACUGCAGGGCUGCCUCCUAGACUGUCGGGCUCGAGCACGGUAGAGGCAGAUGGAAUUCCCGGUGUAGCGGUGGAAUGCGUAGAGAUCGGGAAGAACAUCGGUGGCGAAGGCGGUCUGCUGGGCCGUUGCUGACGCUGAGGCGCGACAGCGUGGGGAGCAAACAGGAUUAGAUACCCUGGUAGUCCACGCCGUAAACGAUGGACACUAGGCGUCGGGGGGAGCGACCCUCUCGGUGCCGUCGCUAACGCAGUAAGUGUCCCGCCUGGGGAGUACGGCCGCAAGGCUGA
rnacentral:rRNA from 1 species